AUGAACGCUAGCUACAGGCUUAACACAUGCAAGUCGAGGGGCAGCAUGAACUUAGCUUGCUAAGUUUGAUGGCGACCGGCGCACGGGUGAGUAACACGUAUCCAACCUGCCGAUGACUCGGGGAUAGCCUUUCGAAAGAAAGAUUAAUACCCGAUGGCAUAAUUCUUCCGCAUGGUAGAACUAUUAAAGAAUUUCGGUCAUCGAUGGGGAUGCGUUCCAUUAGGUUGUUGGCGGGGUAACGGCCCACCAAGCCUUCGAUGGAUAGGGGUUCUGAGAGGAAGGUCCCCCACAUUGGAACUGAGACACGGUCCAAACUCCUACGGGAGGCAGCAGUGAGGAAUAUUGGUCAAUGGACGAGAGUCUGAACCAGCCAAGUAGCGUGAAGGAUGACUGCCCUAUGGGUUGUAAACUUCUUUUAUACGGGAAUAAAGUGAGGCACGUGUGCCUUUUUGUAUGUACCGUAUGAAUAAGGAUCGGCUAACUCCGUGCCAGCAGCCGCGGUAAUACGUAGGUGGCAAGCGUUAUCCGGAAUUAUUGGGCGUAAAGCGCGCGUAGGCGGUUUUUUAAGUCUGAUGUGAAAGCCCACGGCUCAACCGUGGAGGGUCAUUGGAAACUGGAAAACUUGAGUGCAGAAGAGGAAAGUGGAAUUCCAUGUGUAGCGGUGAAAUGCGCAGAGAUAUGGAGGAACACCAGUGGCGAAGGCGACUUUCUGGUCUGUAACUGACGCUGAUGUGCGAAAGCGUGGUGAUCAAACAGGAUUAGAUACCCUGGUAGUCCACACAGUAAACGAUGAAUACUCGCUGUUUGCGAUAUACAGUAAGCGGCCAAGCGAAAGCGUUAAGUAUUCCACCUGGGGAGUACGCCGGCAACGGUGAAACUCAAAGGAAUUGACGGGGGCCCGCACAAGCGGUGGAGCAUGUGGUUUAAUUCGAAGCAACGCGAAGAACCUUACCAGGUCUUGACAUCCCGAUGCUAUUCUUAGAGAUAGGAAGUUACUUCGGUACAUCGGAGACAGGUGGUGCAUGGUUGUCGUCAGCUCGUGUCGUGAGAUGUUGGGUUAAGUCCCGCAACGAGCGCAACCCUUAUCGAUAGUUACCAUCAGGUUAUGCUGGGGACUCUGUCGAGACUGCCGUCGUAAGAUGUGAGGAAGGUGGGGAUGACGUCAAAUCAGCACGGCCCUUACGUCCGGGGCUACACACGUGUUACAAUGGGGGGUACAGAAGGCAGCUACACGGCGACGUGAUGCUAAUCCCUAAAGCCUCUCUCAGUUCGGAUUGGAGUCUGCAACCCGACUCCAUGAAGCUGGAUUCGCUAGUAAUCGCGCAUCAGCCACGGCGCGGUGAAUACGUUCCCGGGCCUUGUACACACCGCCCGUCAAGCCAUGAAAGCCGGGGGUACCUGAAGUGCGUAACCGCAAGGAGCGCCCUAGGGUAAAACUGGUGAUUGGGGCU
rnacentral:rRNA from 1 species